rnacentral:rRNA from 1 species
GACGUAGGGUGCGAGCGUUGUCCGGAUUUAUUGGGCGUAAAGAGCUCGUAGGCGGCUCGUCGCGUCGACCGUGAAAACCCGCGGCUUAACUGCGGGCUUGCGGUUGAUACGGGCGGGCUAGAGUUCGGUAGGGGAGACUGGAAUUCCUGGUGUAGCGGUGAAAUGCGCAGAUAUCAGGAGGAACACCGGUGGCGAAGGCGGUUCUCUGGGCAUGUCCUGACGCUGAGGAGCGAAAGUGUGGGGAGCGAACAGG